UACAGAGGUGGCAAGCGUUGUUCGGAAUUACUGGGCGUAAAGGGCGCGUAGGCGGCAUGGCAAGUCGGGAGUGAAAGCCCGGGGCUCAACCCCGGAACGGCUUUCGAAACUGCCAAGCUAGAGUACGGAAGGGGCAACUGGAAUUCCCAGUGUAGCGGUGAAAUGCGUAGAUAUUGGGAAGAACACCGGAGGCGAAGGCGGGUUGCUGGGCCGAUACUGACGCUGAGGCGCGAAAGCCAGGGGAGCAAACGGG
rnacentral:rRNA from 1 species